rnacentral:rRNA from 1 species
UACAUGGGGUGCAAACGUUGCUCGGAAUUAUUGGGCGUAAAGCGCGCGUAGGCGGUUACUUAAGUCGGAUGUGAAAGCCCUCGGCUUAACUGAGGAAGUGCACCCGAAACUGAGUAGCUAGAGUACGAAAGAGGGUCGCGGAAUUCCCGGUGUAGAGGUGAAAUUCGUAGAUAUCGGGAGGAACACCGGUGGCGAAGGCGGAUCUCUGGACAAAUCCUGACGCUGAGGCGCGAAGGCUAGGGGAGCAAACGGG